ensembl:lncRNA
AUGCGUUCUUUUUGAGAGAGGGUCGAACCGAAAGUGCACUCUUUAGUCAACAGAGUGAAAGUCCCGAGGUUGCAGCAGUCUGAGAUAAAUACGUCAGUUCACAGAUAAAGAAGAUAGGAACUGAAUGAAGUCGUUCGUACGAUUAGUUAGCACAAACAGCUGUAGCUCUUCUGAGCUACACCCUGCUUUUUCAAUCACACCACCGAAUCAUUUCCCAUUUUUUUUGUUGCAUCAAUGAAACGCUCUUCCGUGUUCUUUUACCUCCAACAGAACUCAAAAGUGAAUGUAGGUGAAUCUCCUUUUGUAACAUCCUCCAAAGAAUGUAAUGAAAUGUGUGAAUUUAUUUAGGACUGGUUUGUCAUAGAGGUUUUUCAUGUUUCUUACAGUCAGACGAAAUGGCUAGCUCGUUACAGAGCAUAUGAAGUUCACUGAUAAUCCAAUUGUUUUCUUUCCCACACCUACAUAAUUCUUAAUCCUGUGUCAAUAAUUAACCACAAUGGGUACAUUGUUAUCAGGUCUGAACUCCUCCUCA